GAGAUUCGAAGAUUCACGUCUGAAAUUUUCGAAAUAAAGGUUUCCUUUUCGUUUUUUUUUUUUUUGGUUUGCUAAGCUUUCUCUUCGAAUUCAUUCGUCUUUCAAAAUUCCUUCUUGUUUUUAUAAAAUCUACAAAAAGGAAAUAUAGUUUAAAAGAGCUGAAAUCGAAAGCUUUCCGCAUGCAUGUUAUUGAUCCUCCGAAUAAAUUAGGUGAUUUUUUUUUGUAUGUUUGGUUGUAGAGAUAGGAACAAAGGAUAGGAAGUAAAAGAAGAGAACAAAUUGACUUUGUAAUAGCCAAUUUUGGCCCAAAAGAACCCAAACCAAAUAAACAAAAAAAUAGUCCAAUACAUGGCCCAAAAUUAAAACAAAACCUAAUUAAAACCCAAUACCCAAAUUUUAGCCCAAAAUAAACCCAAUAACCUAAAACCCUAAAGCCCAAGUCAGCCCACUAUCUUAAACUUUUUUUCAGCAGCCACCCUACCCCUAGCCACCAAAGUUCAGCCGCCACUCCCCCCUCUGCCCUUGGCCAUCACGCGCGCCACCACCACCGCUUGGGGCACCAACCAUCGGCCUUCUACGCGUCUGACACCUGCAAGACGAAACUAGCACGCGAAACACAAGAAAAGAAGAAGAAAAAGUAGCAGACAAGAAGAAAAAAACAAAAAAUGAAUCUAUGUAAUUCGGUUAUAAAAGUCGAAACAUCCAUUUGUAGUUUUUUUUGGGACACGCACAUUUAAGAAAUAAAAGAACAAAAGCAAGAAAAAGGUUGAUCUUUUUAUUUUCAAAUUUUCGUUUUAUUUUAUUUUAUUUUUGCUUUUGAACACAAAAAGAAAAUGAAGAACCUUACCGGAGAACCCACGGUCACACCGUCGAAAGACUCUUCUCAUUCGUCUAGAUCGGAUCUAAAAGGGAAGGGGAGAAGCCUUUUCUUUCGUUUUUCUUCGGAUUUUGGAGAGCCUUGCUUUGGAUCCGUUUGAAGCAGGCUAAAAGCCCCUUUUUGCGCAUUACCGGCCACCGGAUACGGUGGUGGUGCGGUGGUGCGACGAAGAAACCGAUCGUCGGCAUGGGGAAGAGAGGGGAGAGAUUAAAGGUUCCUUUAGUUUUUUUUAUGAAAAGAGGGCAGAAAUGAG
rnacentral:lncRNA from 1 species